rnacentral:rRNA from 1 species
CGCCAUGGGGGCUGCUUACACAUGCAGUCGAGCGGAGAGAGGUAGCUUGCUACUGAUCUUAGCGGCGGACGGGUGAGUAAUGCUUAGGAAUCUGCCUAUUAGUGGGGGACAACAUUUCGAAAGGAAUGCUAAUACCGCAUACGUCCUACGGGAGAAAGCAGGGGAUCUUCGGACCUUGCGCUAAUAGAUGAGCCUAAGUCGGAUUAGCUAGUUGGUGGGGUAAAGGCCUACCAAGGCGACGAUCUGUAGCGGGUCUGAGAGGAUGAUCCGCCACACUGGGACUGAGACACGGCCCAGACUCCUACGGGAGGCAGCAGUGGGGAAUAUUGGACAAUGGGCGCAAGCCUGAUCCAGCCAUGCCGCGUGUGUGAAGAAGGCCUUAUGGUUGUAAAGCACUUUAAGCGAGGAGGAGGCUACUUUAGUUAAUACCUAGAGAUAGUGGACGUUACUCGCAGAAUAAGCACCGGCUAACUCUGUGCCAGCAGCCGCGGUAAUACAGAGGGUGCAAGCGUUAAUCGGAUUUACUGGGCGUAAAGCGCGCGUAGGCGGCUAAUUAAGUCAAAUGUGAAAUCCCCGAGCUUAACUUGGGAAUUGCAUUCGAUACUGGUUAGCUAGAGUGUGGGAGAGGAUGGUAGAAUUCCAGGUGUAGCGGUGAAAUGCGUAGAGAUCUGGAGGAAUACCGAUGGCGAAGGCAGCCAUCUGGCCUAACACUGACGCUGAGGUGCGAAAGCAUGGGGAGCAAACAGGAUUAGAUACCCUGGUAGUCCAUGCCGUAAACGAUGUCUACUAGCCGUUGGGGCCUUUGAGGCUUUAGUGGCGCAGCUAACGCGAUAAGUAGACCGCCUGGGGAGUACGGUCGCAAGACUAAAACUCAAAUGAAUUGACGGGGGCCCGCACAAGCGGUGGAGCAUGUGGUUUAAUUCGAUGC